UGGGGAAUAUUGGACAAUGGGCGAAAGCCUGAUCCAGCCAUGCCGCGUGUGUGAAGAAGGUCUUCGGAUUGUAAAGCACUUUAAGUUGGGAGGAAGGGCAGUAAGCGAAUACCUUGCUGUUUUGACGUUACCGACAGAAUAAGCACCGGCUAACUCUGUGCCAGCAGCCGCGGUAAUACAGAGGGUGCAUGCGUUAAUCGGAAGUACUGGGCGUAAAGCGCGCGUAGGUGGUUCGUUAAGUUGAAUGUGAAAGCCCCGGGCUCAACCUGGACACUGCAUCCAAGACUUGCGAGCUAGAGUAGGGCAGAUGGUGGUGGAAUUUCCUGUGUAGCGGUGAACUGCAUAGAUAUAGGAAGGAACACCAGUGGCGAAGGCGACCACCUGGGCUCAUACUGACACUGAGGUGCGAAAGCGUGGGGAGCAAACAGG
rnacentral:rRNA from 1 species